UUAUACGGCGAAACUGCGAAUGGCUCAUUAUAUAAGUUAUCGUUUAUUUGAUAGUACCUUACUACUUGGAUAACCGUGGUAAUUCUAGAGCUAAUACAUGCUGAAAAUCCCGACUUCGGAAGGGAUGUAUUUAUUAGAUUAAAAACCAAUGCCCUCCUGGGCUCUCUGGUGAUUCAUGAUAACUUCUCGAAUCGCACGGCCUCGCGCCGGCGAUGGUUCAUUCAAAUUUCUUCCCUAUCAACUUUCGAUGUUUGGGUAGUGGCCAAACAUGGUUGCAACGGGUAACGGAGGGUUAGGGCUCGACCCCGGAGAAGGAGCCUGAGAAACGGCUACUACAUCCAAGGAAGGCAGCAGGCGCGCAAAUUACCCAAUCCCGACACGGGGAGGUAGUGACAAUAAAUACUGAUACAGGGCUCUUUCGGGUCUUGUAAUUGGAAUGAGUACAAUUUAAAUCCCUUAACGAGGAACAAUUGGAGGGCAAGUCUGGUGCCAGCAGCCGCGGUAAUUCCAGCUCCAAUAGCGUAUAUUAAAGUUGUUGUGGUUAAAAAGCUCGUAGUUGAACCUUGGGCCUGGCUGGCCGGUCCGCCUCACCGCGUGUACUGGUCCGGCCGGGCCUUUCCCUCUGUGGAACCCCAUGCCCUUCACUGGGCGUGGCGGGGAAACAGGACGUUUACUUUGAAAAAAUUAGAGUGCUCCAGGCAGGCCUAUGCUCGAAUACAUUAGCAUGGAAUAAUGAAAUAGGACGCGCGGUUCUAUUUUGUUGGUUUCUAGGACCGCCGUAAUGAUUAAUAGGGACAGUCGGGGGCAUCAGUAUUCAAUUGUCAGAGGUGAAAUUCUUGGAUUUAUUGAAGACUAACUACUGCGAAAGCAUUUGCCAAGGAUGUUUUCAUUAAUCAGGAACGAAAGUUAGGGGAUCGAAGACGAUCAGAUACCGUCGUAGUCUUAACCAUAAACUAUGCCGACUAGGGAUCGGACGAUGUUAUUUUUUGACUCGUUCGGCACCUUACGAGAAAUCAAAGUGC
rnacentral:rRNA from 1 species